UACGUAGGGUGCAAGCGUUGUCCGGAAUUAUUGGGCGUAAAGAGCGUGUAGGCGGCCCGAUUAGUCCGCUGUGAAAGUCCAGGGCUCAACCCUGGAAUGCCGGUGGAUACUGUCGGGCUAGAGUCCGGAAGAGGAGAGUGGAAUUCCUGGUGUAGCGGUGAAAUGCGCAGAUAUCAGGAAGAACACCCGUGGCUAAGGCGGCUCUCUAGUACGGUACUGACGCUGAGGUGCGAAAGCGUGGGGAGCAAACAGG
rnacentral:rRNA from 1 species